CCUACGGGAGGCAGCAGUGAGGAAUAUUGGUCAAUGGGCUUACGCCUGAACCAGCCAAGUCGCGUGAGGGAAGACUGCCCUAUGGGUUGUAAACCUCUUUUGUCAGGGAGCAACACCGGCUACGUGUAGCCGGAGUGAGUGUACGUGAAGAAAAAGUAUGCGCUAACUCCGUGCCAGCAGACGGUGUUAUACGGAGGAUGAGCGCGUUAUCCGGAUUUUUUGUGGUAAAAGGGUGCGUAGGCGGAAUGCCAAGUCAGCGGUAAAAUCGCGGGGCUCAACCUCGCUCCGCCGUUGAAACUGGGGUUCUUGAGUGGGCGAGAGGUAUGCGGAAUGCGUGGUGUAGCGGUGAAAUGCAUAGAUAUCACGCAGAACUCCGAUUGCGAAGGCAGCAUACCGGCGCCCAACUGACGCUGAGGCACGAAAGCGUGGGUAUCGAACAGGAUUAGAUACCCCUGUAGUC
rnacentral:rRNA from 1 species